GGGGAUAGCUCAGUGAUGGAGUGCAUGCUUAACAUGCAUGAGGUCCUGGGUUCAAUCCCCAGUAUCUCUG
rnacentral:tRNA from 1 species